CAACGUUCCUAAUCCAACCUCAGGUAACAACGUUCCUAAUCCAACCUCAGGUAACAACGUUCCUAAUCCAACCUCAGGUAACAACGUUCCUAAUCCAACCUCAGGUAACAACGUUCCUAAUCCAACCUCAGGUAACAACGUUCCUAAUCCAACCUCAGGUAACAACGUUCCUAAUCCAACCUCAGGUAACAACGUUCCUAAUCCAACCUCAGGUAACAACAUUCCUAAUCCAACCUCAGGUAACAACGUUCCUAAUCCAACCUCAGGUAACAACGUUCCUAAUCCAACCUCAGGUAACAACGUUCCUAAUCCAACCUCAGGUAACAACGUUCCUAAUCCAACCUCAGGUAACAACAUUCCUAAUCCAACCUCAGGUAACAACGUUCCUAAUCCAACCUCAGGUAGCAACGUCCCUAAUCCAAC